rnacentral:rRNA from 1 species
CCUACGGGUGGCAGCAGUGAGGAAUAUUGGUCAAUGGACGAGAGUCUGAACCAGCCAAGUAGCGUGAAGGAUGACUGCCUUAUGGGUUGUAAACUUCUUUUAUAUGGGAAUAAAAUGUUCCACGUGUGGGAUUUUGUAUGUACCAUAUGAAUAAGGAUCGGCUAACUCCGUGCCAGCAGCCGCGGUAAUACGGAGGGUGCAAGCGUUGUCCGGAAUCAUUGGGCGUAAAGAGUUCGUAGGCGGCAUGUAAAGUCAGUUGUGAAAGUUUGCGGCUCAACCGUAAAAUUGCAGUUGAAACUGGCAGUCUUGAGUACAGUAGAGGUGGGCGGAAUUCGUGGUGUAGCGGUGAAAUGCUUAGAUAUCACGAAGAACUCCGAUUGCGAAGGCAGUUCACUGGACUGCAACUGACACUGAGGCUCGAAAGUGUGGGUAUCAAACAGGAUUAGAUACCCGAGUAGUC